AGAGAACCAGCCUUUUAUGGUAUUAUGAGGCCCGGUCCUCCAGAGAAGUGCUCUUCCCAGAGCUCCAGCAAGACGUUUGUUUUCUAGAAGCCCUCUGGCGUCAUUAUUACUUCAAGAUGGCCUAUGAAAAGGUUAACAUAAGCCAAAAGACUUGGGCCCCAGACGAAGUGUACACUGCUAUGUAUCUUGUCUCACCCUAUCCAAAUCUUUCGAACCCCUGGGGGAGAUGACGCCUUAGCAAAAGAGGGCUAACUCUUCUCCCUACCCAAAGAAGACAACACUUACAACAUACCUGAUUGAGCCACAGCACU